CGAACGGGUGAGUAAUGUAUCGGAACGUGCCCAGUCGUGGGGGAUAACUGCUCGAAAGAGCAGCUAAUACCGCAUACGACCUGAGGGUGAAAGCGGGGGAUCGCAAGACCUCGCGCGAUUGGAGCGGCCGAUAUCAGAUUAGGUAGUUGGUGAGGUAACGGCCCACCAAGGCGACGAUCCAUAGCCGACCUGAGAGGGUGACCGGCCACAUUGGGACUGAGACACGGCCCAA
rnacentral:rRNA from 1 species